UCCGAGUUGACCCCGGCAGUCUCUCACGAGUCCCCACCAUAACGUGCUGGCAACAUGAGACAAGGGUUGCGCUCGUUGCGGGACUUAACCCAACAUCUCACGACACGAGCUGACGACAGCCAUGCAGCACCUGUGUUCCGAUUCCCUUUCGGGCACCCCCACCUCUCAGCAGGGUUCCGGACAUGUCAAGGGUAGGUAAGGUUGUUCGCGUUGCAUCGAAUUAAUCCACAUCAUCCACCGCUUGUGCGGGUCCCCGUCAAUUCCUUUGAGUUUUAAUCUUGCGACCGUACUCCCCAGGCGGGCGACUUCACGCGUUAGCUUCGUUACUAAGGAUGUUAAAUCCCCAACAACUAGUCGCCAUAGUUUAGGGCGUGGACUAC
rnacentral:misc_RNA from 1 species